CUAAACGGUAACAGGAUGUGCUUGCACAUCGCUGACGAGUGGCGGACGGGUGAGUAAUGCUUAGGGAUCUGCCUCUGUGUGGGGGAUAACUAUUGGAAACGAUAGCUAAUACCGCAUAAUGUUUACGGACCAAAGGGGGCGUUUGCUCCCGCGCAGAGAGGAACCUAAGUGAGAUUAGCUAGUUGGUAAGGUAAUGGCUUACCAAGGCGACGAUCUCUAGCUGUUCUGAGAGGAAGAUCAGCCACACUGGGACUGAGACACGGCCCAGACUCCUACUGGAGGCAGCAGUGGGGAAUAUUGCACAAUGGGGGGAACCCUGAUGCAGCCAUGCCGCGUGUGUGAAGAAGGCCUUCGGGUUGUAAAGCACUUUCAGUUGUGAGGAAAGGUUAGUAGUUAAUACCUGCUAGCUGUGACGUUAGCAACAGAAGAAGCACCGGCUAACUCCGUGCCAGCAGCCGCGGUAAUACGGAGGGUGCGAGCGUUAAUCGGAAUUACUGGGCGUAAAGCGCACGCAGGCGGUUUGUUAAGCUAGAUGUGAAAGCCCCGAGCUCAACUUGGGAUGGUCAUUUAGAACUGGCAGACUACAGUCUUGGACACGGGAGUGGAAUU
rnacentral:rRNA from 1 species